GCUCUCAGUGGCUCAGGAACACCCUGACAUUAAAUACAAUGUAAACAUACUAAAAACUGUAUGUAAAUGACGAGGUUACAACAAACCAACUAUCUAAUUGUUCAGAUGAACAUUCACGAAGAACUUCACCAGAUCCUGACAUUAAUGGUUCAUCAGUAGCAUCGUCAUCAUCGUCUACGUCACCAUCUUUAUGAACGUAAAUGAAUCGUCAUUAAACACACGAUCUUAUUAAACAAAGAAUAAAACAGGAGGGAUUUAGGGAAGAGGUGCAAAGGGCUGCAAUAUUCCAAACUGAAUACU